rnacentral:rRNA from 1 species
CAGCCGCCGCGGUAAUACGAAGGGGGCUAGCGUUGCUCGGAACCACUGGGCGUAAAGGGUGCGUAGGCGGGUUUUUAAGUCAGAGGUGAAAUCCUGGAGCUCAACUCCAGAACUGCCUUUGAUACUGAAAGUCUUGAGUAUGGGAGAGGUGAGUGAAACUGCGAGUGUAGAGGUGAAAUUCGUAGAUAUUCGCAAGAACACCAGUGGCGAAGGCGGCUCACUGGCCCAUAACUGACGCUGAGGCACGAAAGCGUGGGGAGCAAACAGGAUUAGAUACCCCCGUAGUCCCUGUCUCUUAUAC